UGGAGAGGUGUCCGAGUGGCUGAAGGAGCCGCAUUCGAAAUGCGGUCAGCGGGCAACUGCUGCGGGGGUUCGAAUCCCUCCCUCUCCGA
rnacentral:tRNA from 1 species